rnacentral:rRNA from 1 species
CCUGAUCGACUCUACCUUCGGGGGUACUCGAGCGGCGAACGGGUGAGUAACACGUGAGCAACCUGCCCCUAGCACCGGGAUAGCUCCGGGAAACCGGAAUUAAUACCGGAUAUGACCAUGGAGGGCAUUCUCCAUGGUGGAAAGGAUUCCGGCUAGGGAUGGGCUCGCGGCCUAUCAGCUAGUUGGUGGGGUAACGGCCCACCAAGGCGACGACGGGUAGCCGGCCUGAGAGGGCGACCGGCCACACUGGGACUGAGACACGGCCCAGACUCCUACGGGAGGCAGCAGUGGGGAAUAUUGCGCAAUGGGCGAAAGCCUGACGCAGCGACGCCGCGUGGGGGAUGACGGCCUUCGGGUUGUAAACCCCUUUCAGCAGGGACGAAGCGAAAGUGACGGUACCUGCAGAAGAAGCGCCGGCUAACUACGUGCCAGCAGCCGCGGUAACACGUAGGGCGCAAGCGUUGUCCGGAAUUAUUGGGCGUAAAGAGCUCGUAGGCGGUCCGUUGCGUCCGCUGUGAAAACCCGGGGCUUAACCCCGGGCCUGCAGUGGAUACGGGCGGACUAGAGGCAGGUAGGGGAGAAUGGAAUUCCCGGUGUAGCGGUGAAAUGCGCAGAUAUCGGGAGGAACACCGGUGGCGAAGGCGGUUCUCUGGGCCUGACCUGACGCUGAGGAGCGAAAGCGUGGGGAGCGAACAGGAUUAGAUACCCUGGUAGUCCACGCCGUAAACGUUGGGCGCUAGGUGUGGGGUCUUUCCACGGAUUCCGUGCCGUAGCUAACGCAUUAAGCGCCCCGCCUGGGGAGUACGGCCGCAAGGCUAAAACUCAAAGGAAUUGACGGGAGCCCGCACAAGCGGCGGAGCAUGUUGCUUA